UACGGAGGGUGCGAGCGUUGUUCGGAAUUACUGGGCGUAAAGGGUUCGUAGGUGGCCAACUAAGUCAGACGUGAAAUCCCUCAGCUUAACUGGGGAACUGCGUCUGAUACUGGUUGGCUUGAGUGCAGGAGAGGAACGCGGAAUUCCAGGUGUAGCGGUGAAAUGCGUAGAUAUCUGGAGGAACACCGGUGGCGAAGGCGGCGUUCUGGACUGCAACUGACACUGAGGAACGAAAGCCAGGGGAGCAAACGGG
rnacentral:rRNA from 1 species